rnacentral:rRNA from 1 species
UAGUGCGAUCAUACCAGCACUAAUGUACCGGAUGCCAUCAGAACUCCGCAGUGAAGCAUGCCUGGGCGAGAGUAGUACAAGGAUUGGUGAUCUCCAUGGAAGUCCUCGUGUUGCACUUC